rnacentral:rRNA from 1 species
AGCGGCGGAGCAUGCGGAUUAAUUCGAUGCAACGCGAAGAACCUUACCAAGGCUUGACAUGUUCCCGAUCGCCGUAAAGAUACGGUUUCCCCUUUGGGGCGGGUUCACAGGUGGUGCAUGGUUGUCGUCAGCUCGUGUCGUGAGAUGUUGGGUUAAGUCCCGCAACGAGCGCAACCCUCGUUCCUAUGUUGCCAGCACGUAAUGGUGGGGACUCAUGGAANACUGCCGGGGUCAACUCGGAGGAAGGUGAGGACGACGUCAAAUCAUCAUGCCCCUUAUGUCUUGGGCUUCACGCAUGCUACAAUGGCCNGUACAAUGGGUUGCGAUACUGUGAGGUGGAGCUAAUCCCAAAAAGCCGGUCUCAGUUCGGAUUGGGGUCUGCAACUCGACCCCAUGAAGUCGGAGUCGCUAGUAAUCGCAGAUCAGNNACGCUGCGGUGAAUACGUUCCCGGGCCUUGUACA